rnacentral:lncRNA from 1 species
GGCUUUCUUCUUCCUCCACUAUCUGUAAUUCUUAAACUGUUCUCCAGCCCUUUCUUUAGUCCUAAUUUGGUAUUCUAAGGAAUGACACUUAAUUCACUCAUAUGUUGAAGAAAGCAUUGCUGAAGACAUGGGGAAUUAGUCAGGUAUUCACAAAGGAAGCUGAUAGCUAAAAGUCAUACGUACAGAAUGUGUAUGGAACCAAGGAACACGCACACAAGCUAGACAAGUACUCCACCCAGCUACAUCCCCAGACCACUGUUUUUAAUUUAGGAAAGAAAGUCUCUUUACUCUUUGGACCUCCAUA